GGCCCCGUAGCUCAGCGGAACAAGAGCGCUGUUUUCCGAAAGCAGAGGUCGCGGGUUCGAUUCCCGCCGGGGCCG
rnacentral:tRNA from 2 species